rnacentral:rRNA from 1 species
UGGGGGAUAACGUAGCGAAAGUUACGCUAAUACCGCAUACGAUCUAAGGAUGAAAGUGGGGGAUCGCAAGACCUCAUGCUCGUGGAGCGGCCGAUAUCUGAUUAGCUAGUUGGUAGGGUAAAAGCCUACCAAGGCAUCGAUCAGUAGCUGGUCUGAGAGGACGACCAGCCACACUGGAACUGAGACACGGUCCAGACUCCUACGGGAGGCAGCAGUGGGGAAUUUUGGACAAUGGGCGAAAGCCUGAUCCAGCAAUGCCGCGUGAGUGAAGAAGGCCUUCGGGUUGUAAAGCUCUUUUGUCAGGGAAGAAACGGUGAGAGCUAAUAUCUCUUGCUAAUGACGGUACCUGAAGAAUAAGCACCGGCUAACUACGUGCCAGCAGCCGCGGUAAUACGUAGGGUGCAAGCGUUAAUCGGAAUUACUGGGCGUAAAGCGUGCGCAGGCGGUUUUGUAAGUCUGAUGUGAAAUCCCCGGGCUCAACCUGGGAAUUGCAUUGGAGACUGCAAGGCUAGAAUCUGGCAGAGGGGGGUAGAAUUCCACGUGUAGCAGUGAAAUGCGUA